rnacentral:rRNA from 1 species
UACAGAGGGUGCGAACGUUAAUCGGAAUUACUGGGCGUAAAGCGUGCGUAGACGGUUAUUUAAGUCGGGUGUGAAAGCCCCGGGCUCAACCUGGGAAUUGCAUUCGAGACUGAAUAGCUAGGGUACGGUAGAGGGGAGCGGAAUUUCCGGUGUAGCGGUGAAAUGCGUAGAUAUCGGAAGGAACAUCAGUGGCGAAAGCGGCUUCCUGGACCAGUACCGACGUUCAGGCACGAAAGCGUGGGGAGCAAACAGG